rnacentral:rRNA from 1 species
AAUCAACGCUGGCGGCGUGCCUAACACAUGCAAGUCGAACGCGAAAGUCCCGCAAGGGAUGAGUAGAGUGGCAAACGGGUGAGUAACGCGUGGGUGACCUGCCUUCGAGCGGGGGAUAACGUCCCGAAAGGGACGCUAAUACCGCAUAACAUCCCGCUUUUCAACAAGUGGAGAUCAAAGCUGGGGAUCGCAAGACCUAGCACUCGAAGAGGGGCCCGCGUCUGAUUAGCUAGUUGGGAGGUAACGGCUCACCAAGGCGACGAUCAGUAUCCGGCCUGAGAGGGCGGACGGACACACUGGGACUGAGACACGGCCCAGACUCCUACGGGAGGCAGCAGUGGGGAAUUGUUCGCAAUGGGCGCAAGCCUGACGACGCAACGCCGCGUGGAGGAUGAAGACCU